rnacentral:rRNA from 1 species
GAUGAACGCUGGCGGCGUGCCUAAUACAUGCAAGUCGAGCGAACAGACGAGGAGCUUGCUCCUCUGACGUUAGCGGCGGACGGGUGAGUAACACGUGGAUAACCUACCUAUAAGACUGGGAUAACUUCGGGAAACCGGAGCUAAUACCGGAUAACAUGUUGAACCGCUUGGUUCAACAGUGAAAGACGGUCUUGCUGUCACUUAUAGAUGGAUCCGCGCUGCAUUAGCUAGUUGGUAAGGUAACGGCUUACCAAGGCAACGAUGCGUAGCCGACCUGAGAGGGUGAUCGGCCACACUGGAACUGAGACACGGUCCAGACUCCUACGGGAGGCAGCAGUAGGGAAUCUUCCGCAAUGGGCGAAAUCCUGACGGAGCAACGCCGCGUGGGUGAAGAAGGUCUUCGGAUCGUAAAACUCUGUUAUUAGGGAAGAACAAAUGUGUAAGUAACUAUGCACGUCUUGACGGUACCUAAUCAGAAAGCCACGGCUAACUACGUG